rnacentral:rRNA from 1 species
UACGAAGGGGGCUAGCGUUGUUCGGAUUUACUGGGCGUAAAGGGCGCGUAGGCGGCGAAUCAAGUCAGCUGUGAAAUCUCCGAGCUUAACUCGGAACGGUCAGCUGAUACUGUUUUGCUAGAGUGCAGAAAGGGCAACCGGAAUUCUUGGUGUAGCGGUGAAAUGCGUAGAUAUCAAGAGGAACACCUGAGGCGAAGGCGGGUUGCUAGGCUGACACUGACGCUGAAGCGCGAAAGCUAGGGUAGCAAACGGG